GGACACCAAUGAACUCCAAAGGACUGCAAAACCAUUUAAAACCAAAAUGAAUAUGAAGUGGCAUGUUAAGCACAAUUGAUCUGCAUUCUUGUAGGCACAAGUGCAUGCACACAUACACAUGGAUAAAACAUAAACUAUUAUUAACAAGAAGCCAUCAACAUGGCCACUUAUUUGUGCUGCUUGAUGUAAGAACAGAAUGCAAUUUAGAGAGAGCUUUAGAAAUAAUAAUAAUAAUAAUAAUCUAAAAUCUUAUAAUAAUGCCCCAUCAGCACAUGCACAUAGAAACAGCAUAAACAAUUCACAAACCACCAGUUUAAAAAGAUAUAUUCACAAAUUUAGGCAAGUACAAAGCCAUGGAAUUAGUGAAAAUAAUUCAGUACUUGUAGCAUGGGGAAAAAACCUAUGAACAAUAAUAUAACGCUAAGUCAACAUAAAUCAAAGCAUUAACAUUAAACCCCAAUUCUCUCAGAUAUCAUCGACAACCCCAUAGUCUACCCCACUUUAAGAUUACAACGAGGACCAAAAAGGGGAAUACAAUAUCCAUUGCAUCUAAGGGUAGGUAUCUCUACAUUAAGUCAUAAAUAGAUUCAGUACUAUUUUGCUGGUUUCUAGAAAGAUCAAUUUGUGAUUACAGCUUUGAAUAUUAAUGUAACCUUUAGAAGAAAAAAAAUGCAUGCAAGCCACAGCCCAAUCCCAUUGGUAUAUUUGAGAUAAGGACGCCGUUAAACCUUCCAUUAAAAAUAAUCAGAGGAUCUUCAUGGUUUACCAUUAAUGGAGAACUAGUUUCUUCAAUAUGUCAGCUCAGUCAGGCUCGGUGUUCUAACUUAUUCACUUCAUUUUGGGUGGUAUUUAAAAGAAUUCGAUAAAACUCGGUAAGCAGAAAUUUCGAUUUGGUUAACCAAAUGCACAGCCAUAAAUUAAUACACAGAUAUUAUUAACAGUACUGUUACCAUUCCUCAGGUAGUGCUGUUUUCAGCCUCAAAUCAAUCCCUUUAACUUCAAUAUGACUCCAAAUCAAAUCUCAAUUUCUGAAUACAGGUAAGUUAGAGCGAACCUAAUUGCCAAAUUUAAGGCCUGUCCUACAUUGACUCUACUUGAAGAAAUAGUCUAUUCAUGCUUGACCUCCAUGUAAAAUGGUUCGUAGAACCCAGUUGUUUUGCAUUGGUAACACAUGUAAAAUUAAACCUCGAGUGGUUUGGAUUUCCAUAGCAUGAUAACAAGGGGAUUGCAAACAAAAGUUGCACAAGUUGAUAUAUUGCCAUACUAACCAUAAGCUCAAACAUUGAAAUAUUGCUUAUUCAUUAGAAGAGGAAUGGUACUUUGAAGUACUUUAAAUGAUUGGAUUUUCAUAAUCCUUCAGCUUGGAGGAAAUACAACUUUCUAAGACCUAAUUAAGAAGAGCUGGCCUUUGUUGUUUUGCUUCUUUUGUAUUCUCUCUUUCCAACUUAGUUUUGGCUUUCUACCCAUUUUCAAUGAAGGAAGCUAUUUAAAGAGAACUUUUGACUAUUAUGGACAACAAAGAAUCAUAUGUACUUUUGUCAAUCCCAUCCUCAAUAUGAAGAGUCAAAUGACUAAUGCAUGAAAUUAAGCAAUAACAUAAGAAUCCUAUAAACCAGAACAAUUAAAAAAAAAGGGAAUGUUGCAAUCCCUAACUAUAAAUCUUAACUAAAAGAACACAACAAAUAAGACAUAACACGUGGCAACAUAUAGUAGAAAAUUGAAAGAUCCAUAUAAACUACAUACUUUUUUCUUUUAACAAAAAAUAAAUACAUAAUCAAAUAAAAUUUAAAGCAAAUAGAAACAAAGCAGCAAUGCACUAUUUAUUUGAACUGCAUAGGAGUGAAUUAUUAACGUAAUUUUUUGCCCCUUGCAACCAUUUACCAUUUCAGAGUAGCUUAAAUCAUAAAGGUCUUCAUCAUGGACCCAGUCAUCCAUGCUGAAUUCUGGCAGUGAACGGCAACCAUUUGCAUAAAG
rnacentral:misc_RNA from 1 species